rnacentral:misc_RNA from 1 species
CGCUUUGUCUACUCCUUUACUCUAGUCUUCAUGGCAAGAAGCCUCGAACGAAAGUGUCAACAUUAUUUGAGAGAUAAUGCUUUGAACUUAUCUGUCAGCUGCAAUGUUGCGAAAGUAGGGUAAAAUGAUAAUAACAAAUUAUAAUGCCUGUCAGAAGAUUCAUUCUCUGUUUACAAAGGGCUGCGUAGUGCGUCACAAUACUCAUAAUAUUCAUAACUUACAUACUGUUAUUACAUUUUAUUUGAUUCCUAAAAAACGAACAUCUGGUCAAGGAACAUUAUGAAAGACACAUCCUACACAGUGGUACCGCUGCAUGAGAGAAUAGAGCUCACACCUCAGUGCUGUAAAUUAGUAAAUUCUGAAUGGCCGAGAAGCGAAGUUGCACGUUAACAGGUAAAGUCGCGUCUUAUCAUGCUGUGCCGAGCCUUAGCGUGCUCGUCCAUUCAUAUGAUGCACUGCAUGCCGAGUCAUGAAGAAAGUUUGCUGAACCAUGCGCUGUGUAACCCGGCCUUAACAGCUUUGGACAAUUAUGUGGUAUUCUUAUGUCAUUAUAAUUGACCAAAGAUACAGAGCACGUGGGUUUGGAACUAUGCUAAUGCAAGGAGCAGAGGAAUAUGUAGCAAAGCGAGGUAUCGUUAAUGUUUUUCUAUCAACAAAGGGGCAAGAAUACUUCUA